GAAUGAAGGUCUUACAGGUGUGGAACGACAUGAGGGUGAGUAAUUAAUGACAGCAUUUUCAUUUUUGGGUGAACUAACACUUGAACUAUGUAAUAGGUGAGAUUCACCCUGUGCAAUAUGCUAGAAGGAUUAUUUGCCUACAGGGAAUUAUGUAAACCAAUGUAAUGACAUUCAUCAAUGCAAGACAUCACAAUGCAAAAUGAAUGAUUCCAAAGUCCUGACAAAUUUAUAUUUGCAUUAGUUCCCAUGCACUCCACACUCACUUUUCUAACAUGAUAGGUAAAGGAAGAAUGGAGCCUUUUAACUUCUUUUUGUCUGUGCCUUAAUGCAAUCACCAUUCGGAGACCCUUUUGUUGGGCGUCCUAUUGAUCAGGGAAGGCAGGAAUUGAGUUUGGUGCAAAUCAGUGAGCAAGACAAACAGAGCAUGAACCGAUGGGCCACAUUAGUGUAGGAUGGCUCCUCUGUCUUCCAGGUGACAGAGUUUACAAAGGCUGAAGUGAAGUGCUGAAGCACUUUACUAGAGACUGAGUGAGUGGGAGUGCUUUUAAGAGCCUUGAAUGAGGGGUCAUUAGCGCCUGAGUGACUUCAUCAGACCAGACGGUACUGCAGGUUCCUAUGGCCGGUUGCGUUAAGGAAGAUGGCAUGCUUUAGUGCAGACAUGAGCAAACACAGCACAGGGUAUGGCUCUUUUAGCCUGUCGACUAGCAGAUUAGAGCAGACCUCAACCGACACAAUCUAAUAAUGGCUGCUCUCAGCCUCACGGGUGUUCGAUGCACGCGCAUGGGCAAAGCAGGGUAAAAUCAUUACCGGUAUCAAAUUAGAGCACAGACUCUUCUCUAUUAAAGAGAUAGUUCAUCCAAAAAUGAAAAUAAUGUCAUCAUCUACUAUGGAAGUCAAUGGCUACCGUCAACUGUCUGGUUACCAACAUUCAAAAUCACAGUAUCUAUUCAGAAUAUCUUAUUUUGUGUUUGACAGUAGAAACUCAUACAGGUUUGGAACAACUUGAAGGUGAGUAAACGAUAACAAAAUUUUCAUUUUGGGGUAAACUAUCCCUUUAGGAUUUGCAGUCAGUUAUGUGAUGAUCAUGAGAUAAGCAAUAAGGAAAAUAAUACAUCAAAUCAUUAUGUAGAGGCAAUUAAAACAACUUAUAAUUCAUGGCUACACACCUUGUGCAUUGAAUUUAAAGACUGACUAAUGUGUUUGUGUGUUGUUUUGUGAUUUAGGUUCACAUGGAGAGCACCCUGAGGGAGUGUGUGGCCUCUUUUAAAUGCCAGAUGUGUCAUUCCUAGUCCGACAGUGUCAUAUUGAUAACAAGGACAUGCUCGAAGGCCUGGGCUCGAUGACGACAUAUGAAGAACAGCAGUGCUGAGGUAUCACAAAAGGAUUAACCCUUAAGAUGCUUCAAUGGAAAACAGCAGUAGAUAAAUCACCUGUAGACCAGAGCCAAAAGUCUAAAGCAAAACCUGAGACCAUGAGAGAGCUGAAGAACACGCCUGUAGGUCUUACAUGCUCCCAGAAGACCAGAAAAAUGGCCAAAUAAGGGAGUAGACGACACAAAACGUUGUCUGUAUCCACAGCCAGACCCAACCAAUCUAAAAAGAUGCCACCAAAGACAUCCAUGAGCCAGCCCCAGGAGAGUCUGAGAUGGGUGGGAGUGCUGGCCAACCCUGUGGAGGAAGAAGAGAGGAUUGAGAUUUAUAAAGCCAACAGAAGGAAGCGCUAUUUGGCAGCUCAAGUAUAUCUCAUCAAGAGCUUGGCCUGCAUUGACAGCUAGUAAAGUAUUAAAGUUCUUGUAUCAUUUAAACUUCAAAAAGAAAUGCAUGUUUUAUAUAUAAUACAAUACAUUUUGAAAUAACUACCUUCAUAUUGUUUCAGAGUAAAAUGCUUUUAAAGGGAUAGUUCACCCAAAAAUGAAAAUUCUGUCAUUUUCUCACCCAAGUUGUUCCAAGCCUGUAUGAAUUUCUUUCUUCUGCUGAACACAAAAUAUGAUAUUUUGAAGAAUAAGGGUAACCAAACAGUUCCACAGUCAAUACUAUGGAAGUCAAUGGGGCCCAUCAACUGUUACGGUUACCGACGUUCUUCAAAAUAUCUUCUUUUGUGUUCAGAAGAACAACUAAAUUCACAGGUUUGGAACAACUUGAGGGUGAGUAAAUGACAGAAUUUUCAUUUUUUGGGUGAACUAUCCCUUUAUCAUCUGACCUCUAAUACGUACUCUCACCUCUAGGGGGCUCUCGAGAACAACAAAUGAAAAGAUCACUAGUUGCACUACUAACUUUGCAUUUAAAGGCCUUGUUUUCUAGCAUGAUGCAAAAAUGCAAACAUUAAGGAAAAUGCACAUUACAUUACAAUAAAAACCAGCAUGUCACUUUAAAAAAAAUGAUUUAUUUCAUUUUAACUGUUAAUAUCCAUCUUAACAAACAUUAAUAGAAUCAGAGUUAAAAGAAUAAAAAAAAAAAAAAAAAAAAAAAAAA